rnacentral:rRNA from 1 species
GUGUGCCUAAUACAUGCAAGUCGUACGCACUGGCCCAACUGAUUGAUGGUGCUUGCACCUGAUUGACGAUGGAUCACCAGUGAGUGGCGGACGGGUGAGUAACACGUAGGUAACCUGCCCCGGAGCGGGGGAUAACAUUUGGAAACAGAUGCUAAUACCGCAUAACAACAAAAGCCACAUGGCUUUUGUUUGAAAGAUGGCUUUGGCUAUCACUCUGGGAUGGACCUGCGGUGCAUUAGCUAGUUGGUAAGGUAACGGCUUACCAAGGCGAUGAUGCAUAGCCGAGUUGAGAGACUGAUCGGCCACAAUGGAACUGAGACACGGUCCAUACUCCUACGGGAGGCAGCAGUAGGGAAUCUUCCACAAUGGGCGCAAGCCUGAUGGAGCAACACCGCGUGAGUGAAGAAGGGUUUCGGCUCGUAAAGCUCUGUUGUUGGAGAAGAACGUGCGUGAGAGUAACUGUUCACGCAGUGACGGUAUCCAACCAGAAAGUCACGGCUAACUACGUGCCAGCAGCCGCGGUAAUACGUAGNUGGCAAGCGUUAUCCGGAUUUAUUGGGCGUAAAGCGAGCGCAGGCGGUUGCUUAGGUCUGAUGUGAAAGCCUUCGGCUUAACCGAANAAGUGCAUCGGAAACCGGGCGACUUGAGUGCAGAAGAGGA